rnacentral:lncRNA from 1 species
UUGAGACUCAUCUCCCAUCUCCUCCUCGCCUACAGCACCCAAUUAAAGCCUUCUUCUUUGGCAGUAAUCAUCGUCUCAGUCAUUGGCUUUCUGUGCAGCCAGCAGCAGGCCCUAAACCAAACCCCAGGCAUUUCUGUUCACGUUUAGAGGAGAAGCCCUCUUUACUGCCUUCCACUGAACCAGCCACUCAUGGUACCUGUCAAUCUCCAUGGCCUCUGCUGAGCAUUCUCUCUGACAGCCCCCAGUCAGGGACACUGGAGGACCGGAGGCUGUGCUCUGGUGCACACCCUCCCCCACUUGUGCUUUCACCUGUUGGACUGUCUUCUAACCAAAAGUCUGUUGUGUUUGUCCCCAUACCUGUUCUUGCCAUCAUAUUUGAUUUUAUAAUUGCAAAAUUUAAUAUUACAUAAACCAUUAAAAUGUG